UGAUUGGUUGUUUUGUAACGCCCUGUUGGCUGUACUAUGUUUGUGGAUUGGGAAUAAAAGAGACUGUAUGUGACAGUACAGGGAGUUCCUGCUUAACCCUCAAAGUGAAGUGUCGUCUCAUUAUUGGGGGAGGAUUUAUUGUAUGCUGUUCCAGUUUGACUGCUAGGAGAGUAAACCUAUUCGUAUGGUUCCUAUUCAACUGUCUACAGCAUUCAUAUGCUUGAGAGGAUUCAUAUGAUUCUCCGGUUCGGUGGUUGUGGUGUCUGCUGCAGUGCUUGGAGUCCUCAGGAAGCGCUAGGAGCAUCCUUUAACGGAGGUACCCAGUCGGGGUGCCAGGCGAUCCGUUACACCAUGU